CACUGAACUAACCUGCCAUCAGAGUUCUCCUGCCAUAAGAGAUAAGGUGGAAGAGGAGGGCCUUUUCACCUUUGAACAUCCUCCAUGAAGAAGCUUAGCUGAUUGAGAGGUUUUCAUUCUACCAGGUGAUUGAUGAUUUUGUAUUUGCUGGUAGUUUCUGUUUUUCUACUCUUCUGUUUUAUUGAUUUUUAAUAUCUUAUUGUCAGGGGACUGUCAUCGGAAUGGGGGAGGGAGGCAGGGGAAUAUCAAGAGCCUCCGAAGCUUCUGAGAAGCAGCUCCUCAUCCGUCAGUGGAGAAAGCCACACCUCCAGUGGAGCGGGGGGGAGGGGGAUAGCCGAGUGAAGGGAAGGCUCGAAGAUGCUUUUGAGAGCCAAAGCACCUCAGCUAGCCCAGCCGGCCAGGAGGCAAACACGUCACUUCCGUCACCCUGCUUGCACAGAGGGUUGAAACGUAAGGAGGGGAGGCGGAGUUUUGGGGUGUCCAAGUUCUUACUGGGGAGAAACCGGAAAGGGGCACUCCCGGAAUCUGCAAGUGACUGAGACAGACAUGAACUUUGGGUUUCUGCACUGAACAUAGUUUGCACCAAUAAAACCUGUAAAAGACAGGUCGGAGUCCUGCCUGGUUACUCAUGAGCAACCAGCACCUGACACUUACAUAUUUUUAUUCUUGUUUUGGAAUUACAAUCAUAUUGCAAAGUUCCCUGAGAUCAUUAUUAUUUUAUUGCUAUGGGUUUCUGGGUGCCUCAACUCCCCUAAAUUCCUGGGCCUAUUAGGUGUUUAAGUUUACUCAGUGCUUGGAAUAUUAAGAUGGGUGAAUUUAGCAGUGUCAAAACACAGGCCAGCCUGAUAGUGGCCGCUAAGUCAUUAACAGGGAUAUGCCAUCAGCUAAACUAAGACUACAUGCCAGCCAGCAAAUGGGUGAAGUCCCAUUCUAUGCUCUGGGAAGUAAGCAUAAGACAAUGCCAGUUUUUUGGGGGGAGAAAGUUUUAGGAUUGCAGUUGGGGAUGGUGUGGGCUGGAGGAAAAAUAGUUGCAGUCUGUUAAACACGGCAAGCUGAGGGAUGGAGUCAGAGCACAAUGUCGACUGACUGUUUGAAGCUGCAGGAAUGGGAGAAACAGGAUCCUCUUGGAGUGUAAUGCUUUGAACACCCCUGCCAUAGGCUCAGGUUGUAGAUAUGUGUAAAUUAACCAUAUAUCCUAAAGACAACAUGGUCUCCAUUGUGCCUUGUUUCCAAAGGAAACACAGACUCUGCGUAAGCUACUGGACCUCUGGAAACUGGUGCUGCUCAGAGAUAGGAGAGGCGUGUAACAUUAUAUAAAUAUAUUAUUAUAUAAAUAGAAAUAUAUGCAGUCUUUAUAUUGUUCCCAUGUCAUGGCUUUGCUGUCUCAUAAUUGGGACCACCUUGCCCACAAGGUGUGGAUUUGUUUUAACUUUCUACAUGGGCACAGAAUGUGAGCUGCAUAAUAGGUAAAAAUCAACAGGUGUCAAUUUCCCUGGCAUAGAGAGGCAGGCACUGGUGGAAACAGUUCACCUGCUGAUUUCCACCAGUAACCUUUUUUUAAGUGUUUCUCCGUGAAAAGGCAGAAAGCUUAUAAUGUGAGUUCAAGUGUUACUAAGCCAAUUGUUUCUUGGAGAGGGUCAGGCAAAUACAUCUGGCUCGUUUUCCUGUUUCUUUGUACAGUACUAUUUGUGGUAUUGCACUGGAAGAUUUCAAUACACACCUGCAAAAAAUUGUUUCUCAGAUCAAGAUAUGUUAAACUGUAAAUUUUGUUUGCAACUUUCCUACAAAAGGUACUCGUGCUGAAUAAAUAGCCCACUUUAAAUGGCAGUGUUGCUCUUUUUGAUUGAAAUGGGUUAGUAAGCAAUUUUUAAAGGUCAUUUUUACAUUUUGGUUUGUUUUGAAAUGUAUUUGUAAACAAACUUAAUGUCAUUUACAUAACUUGCAGUUGGUAAUACAGGUGUCGGAAAGAGGUCCACAUUUCACUCAAAGGGACUGGCUCCUAUUGCUUUAUAUCUUCCCCAGCCCACAGGUGCAGCCUUGAGUUUUUGCAACAAAAUAAAAGCGUGUCUGUGGUAUUAUCAUAUUUUUUAGGGAAACUGUGACCUGCUAAAAUGAAAGGUUUACUUCUCCUAUAUGUAUGAUAGAAAAUCUGGGAAAUGGAAAUCUACACAGAGAGUUUAGAUAUACAGUCCAUUCAGGAGGAUCUCCUAGGCAAGCCCAGUUGAAAUCACUGGGAGUGCUGCAAGAGUAUGAUGGCGUUUUUGUAAAUUUUCCAUGCCUUUCAACAGGGCUUGCUCAGAAGGCCUUUACAAUGGAUUAUGUAAGUGGUUCUCAAAUGGUAUGUGGCAGACCACACUGGUGUGGCAGGAGAGGGUGGCAAUUGAGGGGAAAUCCAAGGGCAAGCAAAGAAACAAGGAAACAUUUCAGUAUAGUAUAGAUUAGUAUAGUAUAGUAUAGAUUAGUAUAGUAUAGUAUAGUAUAGUAUAGUAUUUAUUUGCAGAAUAUGGAUAGAUACAUUUUCAAAACGAGAGCAAGAGCAUCAGGUGAUAUUGAGGACAAUCCUAGUUGUGAUGCAGAAUUGCUGUUCGAACUGCACUGGAUAAUAGCAUUAGCUAUUCUUCUACAGGGAUUUUAAACUCUGACAAACAUGAAAGAUCAGACAAGAGAAAGGCUUAUUUGUGUUGAUGAGGAGAGGGGGGUUUGUUUGUCUCAAAUUAGACCUAAUAUAAAUGAGAUUACCCAGCAAAAGCAAGCUCAUGCUUCUCACUGAGUUUGUGUAUAUCCUUAAGUUACAUAUGUAAGAGACUCAUCGAUAAUUAUAUUUUGGGGAUGAUUCAUGUUGCAUUGUUUUAAACUUUCUGGAUGUCCCAUGAUCAUAUUAUAACGUAGUUGUGUUCUAUGUUAUAAAUCAAGCACUGCUAGGAGUUGUUUCUUUUUCCCCCCCAGUGUAUUUCUUACCAAUAAGUGUGUGCGAGCAAAUUUUUGUUCUGAAAGUGUGGUCCAGAAAAAACGUUUGAGAACCAAUGGAUUAUGUCUUUGGAGUAAGAUUGUUGUUGUUGUUGUUUAAUCAUUUAGUCAUGUCCGACUCUUUGUGACCCCAUGGACCACUGUCUUCCACUGCCUCCCGCAGUUUGGUCAGACUCAUGUUUGUAGCUUUGAAAACACUGUCCAACCAUCUCGUCCUCUGUCGUCUCCUUCUCCUUGUGCCCUCCAUCUUUCCCAACAUCAGGGUCUUUUCCAGGGAGUCUUCUCUUCUCAUGAGGUGGCCAAAGUAUUGGAGCCUCAGUUUCACGAUCUGUCCUUCCAGUGAGCACUCAGGGCUGAUUUCCUUCAGAAUGGAUAGGUUUGAUCUUCAUGGGACUCUUGAGAGUCUCCUCCAGCACCAUAAUUCAAAAGCAUCAAUUCUUCGGCGAUCAGCCUUCUUUAUGGUCCAGCUCUCACUUCCAUACAUCACUACUGGGAAAACCAUAGCUUUUACUAUACGGACCUUUGUUGGCAAGGUGAUGUUUCUGCUUUUUAAGAUGCUGUCUAGGUUUGUCAUUGCCUUUCUCCCAAGAAGCAGGCGUCUUUUAAUUUCGUGGCUGCUGUCACCAUCUGCAGUGAUCAUGGAGCCCAAGAAAGUAAAAUCUCUCACUGCCUCCAUUACUAACUAUUUAUUAGCUUCCAUGCCUCUGAACUGAACAGUAGCCUGUCCUAUAGACUUUAGAAGACCAUAAUACAUAUCAACCUGCCACAAACAGCUUCUCUUUCUAUGAAUUUAUGCAGAUCAAGCUACAGAUAAAGGACAAUUUUUUUCUGGUCAGUUGACAACCCUAUUUUGUGGUGUCCUCCCAGCCACACUGAAUCAUUCACAUGUUUUCAGGCACUCCCACUGAGUCUUAGGCUGAAAUCCUAUACUCACAACCCUGGGAAUAUGUUCCACUGAACUCAAUAGGAUUUACUUCCGAGGAGAUUAUAUAUAUAGAGAGAGAGAGAGAGAGAGAGGAUUGCACUGCCAGUUUCCACUGGGGACUUCAGACGUCUGUUCCACUGCUCUUCACAAGCACAUCACCCCAAGAAGUUUACAAGGUUUGUGGUACAGUGGAGCUACAUUCAAAUUGCAAUUCACUGUUUUAUAUAUUUAAAGGCCAAAAAACGAAAACAAAAAAAGGUGGGCCAUAGUGCAACAGAGUUGCUGAGACUGACAGUGCCAUCUGAUAUAUGUCUACUGAGCUGUCCCACUGAAUUCAAUGAGGCUUAAUCCCAGGUAAGUGGGUAUAGUAUUGCACUUUUAGGAUGUGAGAAAUGGGGCGCGUGGAGACAUUUGAGUAAACGGAACUUAGUUACUGUAUUUCUCCUUGCCUUAGUAAAGGAGAUUUGAAUCAUUCCCCACCCCCACAGGAGGGGAUGGCGAUGAAUUUAAAGCCCUGUGAGAGCCUGAGAUAGUAUUAGGGGUAUUUGCAUUGAGUUUCUCCCCAUCUCCAAAUUGACUAUAAUAAUGGCGAGUUUAUGAAAGGGAGAGACAUAUUUAAAUGAAUGAGACAAGAAAAGAAAGGGCGGGGGGAGAGAAGAAAAACCAUCUGGAUCUCAGUCACCUUCCAGCUCUGAACACAUUUGUGCCACCAGUUCCUAAAUGCACAAAUUAUGCAGCCAUUUCACGGGACACUUAGGACUCAAUUUGCAACGCGGCAGUGGGGGGAAAUUGGGCACAUAAUUCCCCCUGAACAAUAACAGGGAGUCGCGUGGUUAAUUUAACUCAAAGCCUGUAGCCAGUUUGCACUCCAUCAGAGAACACCGCGGCAGGCGCAUUCCAGUGCACGACCAUGAAGCAGGCAUCCGGAUUGACAUGCACCCGUCUCCAUGUCCAGAUUGGAACCAGAAGAAAGUCAGCGUAAGAUUGUGUGUCUGCACGGGAAAGCAUAGACCACUGCUUAAGAGAGACAUUGCCCGGGAUUUAAGAACAGCAUAAGAUGUUCCUGAUGGGCUGCAGGCUUCCUGUAGGCCCACAUGAUACAUCCAUCAAGGGGGGGGGGUGAGAGAGAGAGACAGAGAGCCAGCCUCUCCUUAUGUGUCAUGGAAGGAUUGUGAAAUAAAUACAUACAUAUUUCAACGAGUUUUUAUACCGUGAGGGUGGGCCUCUUGGAUAUAUAAUCUUGACCAAACCCAAAAUGCACCAGGACAACAGGAUAAACAAGGAAGGGAAGCAACAGGCCUUGACAGCCAUGUUCUGGAGUAAAAAUUGGAUGGAAAUUUGCCCAUGUGGUCCCCUGUUUUCCUUUCCAAGACAGUGGCUAGGCAAGGUCAGUUGCACGUAUGCACACACACUCAUACAAAACUCCUCCUCACACCAUAGGAAUCCAGCAGCUGGGAGC